CGUUUUAGAAACAUCAGUGGCCAACAAUCGUCAGGAUUGUUGAGCUGCAUUGGCGGGAUUUCGCCGUCUUCGUUUCUCUUUCUUCGCGGACGAACACGCGCUGGGGCUGCAAGUUUGCAGAGUCCCUGGUCCUUGACUGGAUAUGCGUUAGGGGCUUGUAGCUCAGUUGGUUAGAGCGCGCGCUUGAUAAGCGUGAGGUCGGAAGUUCAAGUCUUCCCAGGCCCACCACUUUCAUCGAGUGAGCAUUCGUCUUCUGGUUACGGGGCCAUAGCUCAGCUGGGAGAGCGCGUGCUUUGCAAGCAUGAGGUCGUCGGUUCGAUCCCGUCUGGCUCCACCAGAUGGUUUGAUCAUCGACUGAUCGUGCGCCUAAAUCGUCCGCGAAACAUCACUUCGCAUCUUGCUAGUCUGGAUAGACAGCAAGUUGCGUGAUUUCUGACAUCGUAAAGAGGAGAUCGAUCCGAGUUGGAUCGUGCGGCAAGCAAUUGCUACGCGAGACUUCAUUAUCUCCGGAUCAUUUCGGCGCUCGUGCGUCUUUCAAGGGCAGCUCACAAGGCUGCUUCUGGAGAGACAAGCGAGUUGUAAAUGAUCCUUUUAGCGAAGCUUGACCGCCUCGCUAUCGGAACGAUCUUACGAAGCAAGCUGGUCUUUCUAAUCAUUGUCCGGCUGCAGAUAGCGUUCAUCGAGGGCGCGUGCCGCAAGGUAAUUCUGCAGACAACAUUCUGCCGAGUGUGUGGACAUUGAUAAUGAGAGCAAUCAAGUGCCUUAAGGGUGUUCGGUGGAUGCCUUGGCGCUGAGAGGCGAUGAAGG
rnacentral:tRNA from 1 species